rnacentral:lncRNA from 1 species
UUCACGUUUGUUUUAUUGGAAGCAAGACUCCAGCAGGACUCGGGGAGGAAGCAUGGCAGAUUUUGUCCUAAGUCCCCUCUCAGCCAUCAUGCAAGGCGGGUGGGGGAGGGAUGCUAAAAGGGAAUUGCUAGGGUGUGUGUGUGUGUGGGGGUGCAGAAUAGGGUCCGGACAUUUUCAACUUGGCCAUCCUCAAGUAAUCAGCUCCGUAGCUCCCGCUCUCAGUUAACAGCAAAGAUGAUUUUUAAAGCCUCAACUGUCAGCAUCCAUGCAUACUGGGUGCUUUUAACGUCUGGGUCCCCAAGAAAGCUCAAGAGUCCCACUACCCACCAUGCUUCCCUAAAAAAGACGGCCUAGCAAAGGUGUGGGUGGUGUUCUGUGGCUUCUGGUAACAUGUCCCACAAAGUUUCCUUGGACUUCAAGGAUCCUCUCUUCUCAUUCCUGAGCUCUCUCCUGUCGCCUUGGGAUCCGCGCUGUCAUUCUGAGGACCGGUGUCCAGGAACAUGGGCCCCUUAAAACCCAGGUAUGAAAGGUGCGUGUGUUGAAAGGUAUGCAGGAGUGUUGAAGAUAUAUGAUUCAGUCGGUCUGGGUGGCUCAGAGGCGAGAAUUCUCAGGCGGUCCUGUCCUCAUUCUCAGCCUCUGGCUCAGGCUGAGACCGCUUAGCGGUGCCUUCUUCAGCAGCAGAUUCCCCCAGGCUCCUCUUGGACGUCGACACCGUAGGAGGGGACGAAGGACCAGGACUGAGGUUCGGAGGCUGGUAGCCAAGUUGUCGUGGAUCCAGUGCGUCCUUUGAAAGUAGGAUGGCGAGGCUCGGUACAUUCUUAAGUACACUGAGACUGGCGGCCGGAUCGCUGGGCGUCUGACCCGGUGUGGGCCCAGGCGGGAGGCUCUGCCACACCUCGCGCACGCUCCGGUAGCGCAGCCGCGUGACCUGGUGUAAGCCCGCCAGGCGGCGCUUGAGAAUCUCGGCGCACGUGACGGUCUUGGUGGUGGCCCGGCCGCAGCCACUGAAGACGAUGGCGCGCGUGGCUGGCUGCGCCAUGCUGGCGGUGGCGAAGGCCAGUAGGUUGCGGAUCUUGCUGCCCUCCUUGACCCGCAUGUGUACAGCACCGGGUGCCAGAUCUGCAAAAGGGCCAGAGUUCGGGCUGCCACCCUCAUCACCGUCCCCCGCCGGCGCCUCCUCCGAGCGCACCUUACGGAAGUUCUCCAUGCGCCGUCGUCGCUGGGAUCGCAGGUUUUGCCAUGGGGCCGCCUCAAGCCCGGGGCUGCAUGGCCGCGGGUCGUGCCGGGCGAGAGCUGGCAGGGAUUGGGGUGCCGGCGCCGAGUGAAGGUUGGAGGGUGGGCUGGGAACGUGCAGUCUUCAGCCCAGACUUCUACAGGGUAGUGAUGUUCUACUCUGCGCCCUCGGCACCUUGUGCUCCGCGCCUUUAGCAGAAGCUCCGCCUGGGAGCCAGAUAGGACCCGCCCCUUCGCCCAGGACCCGCCCCAACUCUGCGUGACUUGUCCCAGUCCCUCCAGCCUUUGGGAUCCAGCGCUGGAGCUCAGCGGCUGGGGUCACAGAGCCACGGGUGAUUUGGGAGGUGAAGUUCUCCGAAGUCACCAUCUGUUCUCCCUGAACCAGACCUUAUGCAGGAACAACCUAAAUAAAUACUAUGCUUAAGGUUCAAAUGCCGACUCAAGCCUGGUCCCUGAGCCCUGCGGGGUUCCAGCGCAAGGGCAUCCCUAGACCCCUCCUAGAUUUCACAGGGAGAAGCAGGCUCUGGAGUCCCAACCUUGGGGAGACCCCACGACUGAGUGCACUCAGGCAAGUGGUGGACUUAAAGUCGGCAGUUUUGGAUUGAUCUGAGAAAAAGUUCCAGAAAGACUAGAAGCUAUGUAGGAAUGUGCUGGUUGGAAAAGAAGAGAGCUCUGCGUUCCCUGGAGUAUGCAAGCCUGGGUUAAACAACUUGGAAAUCAUGUAGGCCGUACACUACAAUUUGGAAGAUCUGGGGGCAGCAGGUUUGUUCUGAAAAGAGUGAAUGGUUGUGCCUCUACCCAAGUUGGCCCUCAAGGACACCGCCACCCUCUCCCAGUACCACUACCCUCUGCCAGAGACUCUCCCAUUCACUUUAUUUUCCUGUGGAGGGAGAACGCAGAAAAGGCCCGGUUCCCCGCCCGCGCAUCGCUUCCUUUCCAGCUCCCUCAGCAGCACUUAAAAUGUAAAUGCACAUCGUGAUUAGCCGCGGGGUCGCUAAUUACAGCUGAAGCCAUUCAUUACGCUGUCAGCUCUCUCCAUCGCCUGCCGGCUG